CCUACGGGGGGCUGCAGUCUAGAGGCUUCGACAAUGCCCGAAAGGGUGAUCGAGCGACGCCGCGUGUGGGAUGAAGGUUUUCGGAUUGUAAACCACUUUUGUUUGGGAAGAAGGCUUGUAUCGUGAAUAUGAGAUUGACGGUACCAAACGAAUAAGCCCCGGCUAACUCCGUGCCAGCAGCCGCGGUAAGACGGAGGGGGCAAGCGUUGUUCGGAAUCAUUGGGCGUAAAGGGCUCGUAGGCGGACUAGCAAGUCUGACGUGAAAUCUCCACCGC
rnacentral:rRNA from 1 species